GUGUGUGUGUGUGCGCGCGCGCGUGGUUCGUUCUUUCGUGUCUCCAGGCUAGUAAGUACUGAGGGCUUCAUCUAUCUAAAAGGAGUCAUUUCCAUCUGAAUGUGGCAGCGACGGGACACAGCAGCAGAGCGAGUCAACAUCCAGAAGGCUGGAGCCGUGUUUCACUGACAGGCUGUCAGACUAAUGCCCUGAUGAGCUCAGCUGGGACAAACUGGUCUGAUGUUUAGGAACACAGAACGUUCAGAUGUUGGAGCUUCAUGUCACCUACUGAGGAAGGAGACCCACCAGUAAAGAGACGGUCUGGACCAGACCAAAAAUAUGGCGAUGACAUCAUGGAACUGGUCUCUGGAAAAGUUUUCCCUGAACCAACUCCGUUUCUAGAUGAGGUAGAGAAGAUCUGCAUCUCACCAACCCUCUGGUCUCAGUGUUCAGACAACGGAGGUCUCCCACUGUUAUCCAGGACCAGUUUGAAGCCCACAUACUGCCCCUCCCUCAUCAUCAGGAAACAUCAGUUCCUAUCCUGAGGACAACAGAAGACGGCAGGAGGACAGGAACUCUGAGACCUAGAUACCACCAGCACCGGGACACAAAGCACCUGUGUGCACAACGCCCUGUUUAACUACUAAAACCUGUUUAUUAUAUUGUUCUACUUAUUUGCUGUGAGGUUAUUACUUAGAAAAUUUGUAUAUUAAUGUAAACAAUUAAAAAAAUCACUGAUUGUAUGUUUUCUUUUAGAUGUAAUGGUCCAAACUCAGCCUUGUAGACAUUUAUUGCAUCCUGUAGGUAAAUACACAGAACAGGCUCAGGUCCAGGAUGACCCAGCAUGCUCUUCUUCCAUUCUGGCUGUUAGGGAUUGUAUCAAUAACUCAAUGCCUACUGAUGUUUUCACCUAACGGUAUUUAUUUAGAAUGCAGGUAAGAUUUAACUAUAUUUGUUAGCAAAGCAGACUGAUCUUGGGAAUUUCACUGCAGCACUGAUGUCCACCUCUCUGUACACAUUAGAGAGAAUUACCACGUUACAGCUAAAUGCAUAUUUAAUAAAGAUAUAGGCUACACAUUGCAGACAAUAAAAACAAAGUUGUAAGCAUUAGAAUUAUAAUGAUCACAUUAAAGAACAUUUGGAGGAAUGUUCUUUAUUUUUGACUAGAAUCUCAAAUCUUUAAAUUAAAAUGUAACUGCUUUUUAUCCAUUUUCAGCCAUUAAGACACCCAA